UCUGAAAAAAAUCAAAUGAAAGGCAACUCACAGGCACCCCCUGCAGCCCAUUUACUAUACAUUUAAAGGAAAAUAAAUAAAUAAAUAAAAACACCCCAUUGUGCAUCUCCUAGCAGCAGUUGCUGCAGUAACGUGCAUUGUCCCUACUUCACAGAGGAGGUUCACAGGGUAAAGUAGCUGACAGAAGUCACACAGCCAGUAACAGGCAAAGGAAGAUUUGAUUCUAAGUCUACCUGAUUCCAAAGCAACCACCUUUCCUUGUCCUUUGCAGGAAAUCCAUCCCGGGCCCAUCCAAUCCCUCCUCCUCUGUUAGGUGGUCAGCACCAGUGAGGCUGGCAGCCUUUCGUGGAAAAUGUGUUUGAGUAUCUUUCCAGUUAAGGAGAGGAGGGCUCAGCCUUUUCUACUGGUCCAUUGCCUGCAGCUCAGCCAUCCCAGCAACUAGAAGGACCUUCCCCAGGGGCUUCGCUCCGUACCAGGUACUGCCUCUGCCAAUUCUGUGUUCCUUGAGGGAAUGGAGCAUCUUUGAUUUCCUUUCUUUUCCCCCUUCCAACAAUCAUCCUUCAUCUUGUUAUCAGGGCCACACAUCUGCGCCUCUUGGCUCUGGUCCACAGGCCGUGUUUGCCGUGGUCAAUGCAAGGCUCUGUGUGGCCACAAUGUAUACCCAAGAAAGCAUUGUGACCCGUGCCCACAGGCCCAAGAGGCCCUGGCUCUGUCAAACGCAGCUGGCGGUUCCCCCAGAGGGGCCGAGGUGAGGUCACGUGGUCUGAAAGGUAGUUUCUGGUCACGGCUCUGCCCUCAGCUGUGUGACUUUGGCGGUAUCACUGCAGCAUUUGGAGCUGCAAUUUCUCCAUGUGCCCUUUCCUUCUCUCGGAAGAGAUAAAAGCAGUUCAGAGCUUGCUCUGCAGCAUGGUCGGAGGGUUUUUAAACACAGGUAUCCAGGUUGCUUUAAAUAAGAGCACCUGCAGCUCUUGUUUAAAAACAACCAAAAUAUUAGCAUUUUAUAAACACACUAUGUUUUCCAACGGGAAGUUGUGUCCAGCGUCCUAUUUCGGUGAACCAUGUCUGGCUGUUUGUCACAGGGAACCUCAUCCAGCAGCCGGCCCCCAGCAAACAUUCCCCAGCCUCAGUGGCAGCAGUUUGGGAUGGGCGGAGGAAGCCGUCAGUUCCGCCAAGACCCUGCGGUCAGCGGCUGUCCAUUUUGCCCUCCAACAGGGAUUUUCUCGGUAGCUGGCCACUGCUGUGUGUGUCGCGCUUCUCCAGGGUCAGGAGGCCUGGUAAGGUGCUAGAGAUCCCCAAGAGAGUGCUGUCGGCUUUUCCACUAGCCAUUCAUUUAUUCAACAGCCACUUGUCCCCACCUUCUUUGUGCCUGGCCUAGGGACAGAUGCUGGGGCCACUGGGAAGAGUUAGAGCCAGUCACUGCCCCUGGGAUUCACAGGCACGUAAGCAAAGAUGUAUGACACAGUGCAAGCAGUGCUGGGACAAAGUCACACGCAGCAGAGCCAGGUCGAGGUAAUCACAGUGGUCUGCCCAGGUUCAAGGGGAGGAGCCAUCGGAGGAGUGUCAAUGUCAAAAGAAGAGCUUCAUUCUUCCCGUGGGCUGGGAUAUACCAUGGCAGCCAUCUUUGGGAAAAUAUGAUCUGCCACACAGCCACAUGGGUUUUUCUGUGGAAGCUGAGAAAAACAUUUGCGUUGUUUCUUUACAGAUAAGAAAAGUCUCUGUGGAUUAUGUCAUUAAAUUAAAUGCAACCAUUAGUGUGUGGCUCUGGGGAUGUUGUGGUAAUAGGCUAUGCCUUGGGUGACUUUUUUCCUUCUAAAUAUUCUUCCUGGAGUGUGUGCUGCCAACCCAACCCAUUUCUCUUUGGUGUAAUAUCACAUAAAAACCUCAUCACCGUUAAUAUGGCAGAGCCAGUAGAGUGAGAUACAGACCAUGAUCCAGGAGGGCAGGGGGUUCCUGGGGAGGAGGUUACAGGAGCUGGGGGUUCAUUCCCUUGUAGGGAUUAACACUCUCUCAACAAAAAGCUUUCUACAAGGCAAUGGUUUGGGCAUGCUUAGUCACCCAGGCCAAUCUGGCCACAGCCUGGUGACAGGGUCUUUGUCUAUUGGCAGCAACCCCUAGAGUAGAGGUGGGCUCAGUUUGUUCAACCCAACACAUUUAUUUACCUUUAGUGCCUCUGAGUAUCCAGUGUAGCCAGGGGUGAGCAGUUGUGAAUGACCUACAGCCCCCUGAAGCCCUUCCCGCCCAGGGGAGGGGGCCCUUUAUUCCCAAAUACUUAUGGGCACUUGUGGUGGGCUAGGAAGUGUUCUAGGCAGCGAGGGUGGCGGUGAGCAGAGUUCUCCCCUCCAGGAGACAACAGUCCAGCAGGAGAAGACGCACAGCGAACAGGUGCGCAGGUCCGUGUAUGAUGAUCCUGGCAAUGAAGGAGAUGAGGAAAAUCAAGAGGUUGAGGGCAUGGUGACUGGGGGUGCGGUUUCAGCAGAGCAACCUACAGUUGCCAGGGCCAAGCAGGGAGUAGGCUUAGAGGGCUCAGGGAGCAGCACGUGGCUGCAGGGGAGGGAGAGAGGCCGAAAGGGAGCCAGGGCUGGGUUACCGGACUCGCCAGGGACUGUAAGGACUAUGGUUCUUAACUCCAGGUCAGGUGGGAGCCAUGGAAGGGUUUUGAGCAGAGGAGUGGCAUGAGAUGACCUGCGGUUUUUAAAAAUCCCUCUGGCUGCAUGUUGAGGACAGAUGAGUAGGUGGGGUGGGGCAAGGGCAGAUGGCGAGGGGGCAGUUAGAAACCCUGGGAAUAAACAUGAGAGAGAAGAGGUGGCCGGGCCAACGUGGUUACAUGGAGUAGGUGAGACAUGGGCAGGGUCUCGAAGCCUUGCAGAGAUAAGGCCACCAGGGUUUGCUGCAGGCCCAGAUGAGGGGUGAGCAACAGAGUCGAAGGUUUGGGGCCACAGCAGUGAGGAUGAGUUGCAUUGGCCAGGAUGGGCAAGACUGAGAGGAGCAGGCUUUGCUUUGAGACAAGUGAAAUGUGAGGUGCCUGUGGCCCUCCACGUGGGAGUGUGAGGAGGAAGUUGGAUAUGUGGGUCUGGGGCUCAGGGACAAGACCCUGGCUGGAGAUUUAAAUCUGGGCGUCAUCAGCAGGUGCAUAGUUUCUAAGGUUUGAAGUUGGAUGAAGUCACUAAGAGAAGGAGAGAGGACAAAAGCCCAAAGACAAGAGCCCCAGGGUACCCAAGUCUUUGGAGGUCGGGAGAUGGGCAGGAACCAGCCAAGGAGCCUGGGAAGAAGCCAUCAUGGGGUUAGAAGGAGCCAGAGGAAGAAUAGCGUCCCAAAGGCCAAGGUCCCAUAGGGGCCAGCAGCGGUGAUGCUGGGAGAGGCCGCCAGCCAGCCACUGCCUUCCCACCGUCCCUCAGCAGCUCUUUCCUGAGCAUGGGGAGGACUCGGAUGUGGACUAGAACCCUGCUCCUAUGAAGGGACAGAGACAGGACAGUGAUCCCUUCAGAGUGCAGUAAGCGUGGGGAGCUCGUGUGGGAGGUGGAGGUGCGCAGCACCAGGCCUAGAGGGUAGCGCCCCAGGGGGCGGGGCAGACCUCUCAGAGCAAGAGGCAUCCAAGCCGACAACAGAAGGUGGGAUCUCGUGCAGACAGUGGGGUGGAGACCAGAAUGGCUUCGUGGGCAACGAGCCAUUUGAGGCGGACUCCAAUUUCCCACAUGAGAAGGUGGAAUGGGGAAGGGAAUUCCUAGAAGAGGUAUAAAAGAGUCACAACAGUAGGGGUGUAUGAGGAGGCCACAGGGAAUGACAAGUGGCCCGUUUGGGUUGGAGAGCUCUGGCCUUUGGAGCUACUUAGAGACAAGGCUGAGAAAGGGUGGCGGGAAGCGGGUAUGAGAGAGGCAGUAGGAACCCUUGACCUCUGAGAGUUCACAGUCUGGCUGGAGAGGAGACAGAGCCCUGCAGUGCAGGGAGGGAGCAGUGGAUGCUCUAUCCAGAGGCCCAAGAAAGCACUGUGGGUACUCUCUGGUUAACUAGUAGAAUUGGGAAGGCUGCCACCGAGAGGCAGAUCUUGAAGAAUGCAUAGGCUUUGAACAUGCCAAGACGCACAGAGAAACUUUCUUGGCAGAGGAGACCGCAUAUGCAAAGGUAUGGAAGCAGGAGUAUGCACUUCUUAUUGCAUGGAUGCUGAGGAGCCAUUGCAGGUUCCUGAGCUGGGGAGAGACACAGUUGGAUUUGUUUUUAGGAAGACAGGUCAGGCAACAAUGUAUAGGGUGAAUCGCAGGUAAAGGGAAGGGUUUCUAAAGGUAGGAGGACCCUUUUGGAGGCAGCUGCAUACCCAGAUCAGGGCUAGUGAUGGCCUCAGUGGCAGAUAAAGGAAAACUGCCUUAAGGGUUUACCUGUAAGUUGGGCCAAGGGCUUUGUAAGCUGCAAUCUCAUGCCCACACUGCCCUGCAGGACGAGGGAGAGGGUCAGGAAUGUGGUCAUACAACAAGCCCUCAGUGACCCAGGAAGACUUUGUGGAGGGGCCCAGAGUCAGUAGGGGGCAAGGAGGGCCACGUGUACCCAACAUCAUGCCACCCCCUGUCCAUCCACUGCCUCAUCUAACCCUCCCAGAAGCCUUCUGAGGUUGAUCCUACUGCCAUCCCAUUUUACAGAGAAGGGGAAUGAGGCUCAGAGGUAAAAUGACCUGCCCUUGUGCACAGCUAGUAUGUAAUGAACCCUGACACCAAAGCCAGCCUCAUAGCCACUGUGUGAGGUUGCCUUGCAAAGGCUUUAUUCAGUAGCCAAAGAUCAGAACAGUGGGGUGGGAGCAUCCCCUACCCUCCCAUAGGGAAGGACAAGGGAGUCUCCCUUCCCUGCUUCCUGGUCAGGCCACUCUUUCAAGGUGAGCUAAGGGACCCCGGAAAUAACAGUAAGCUGAUUUAUCAAGCACUUACUCUGUGCCAAGUAAUAUAGAGCUGUAUUUAGGCCAGGUAUGUAAAUGAUGUAUUUGUCUUUGCUCAACAGCCUGCAGUGGCUCCCCAGUGCCCUAACCCAGUGGUCUUAAUUUCAUUUUACACAUGAGCACUUUGAUGCUUAGAGCAGAUGUGUUGUUGGCCCAUACUGGGAUCUGAACCCAGGGCUGUCUAUGAGUCCUGGGCCUGUGUUCUUUCUAACACACCUCACUGCCUCCUAUCCUGGCAGGAAUGGGGAGGUGUCCUUUGUGAACCCCAGGAGUUCAGAGCUAGAGCUAGGAGAGUGGACCAACAUGGAACCCGCCCCAGAGGCAGCCCCAGGGAAGCAUCCAAGCUGGCUGUGUGACUUUUUGUGCCCUGUUGGCUCUUUGCAUAUAAAUCAUGGGCCUGUUUACUGAACAGGGAGUGUUUCUUUCCCUUGGGCAGCCGCAGGUGCAGAUAGGGCUGAAUUCAGGAUAGGACCUUCUCCCCUGCCCCUCCUGGCUGCUGGGCAAACCUCUGGCCUGGAAUGAAAGGCUUUCUAAUAAGUGCCUUGCUGGACCGCAGCUCAGCCGUGUGCCAGGUGGGGGCAGGGGCAGGAGGCCAACCAAGAGAAGGAUUCGGGAGCCUGAGAGCAGGGGCAAGACCUUGCCAGCAAACCUCUUAGCGGGCUGCUUUCUUAGCCGGCUGCAUCGAGCGUCCCCAGAGGCAUCCUGGUCACGAGGAGCCCUGGCUGCCCUCCCGCCUGGCCCAGAGGAAGGAGGGCCCAUGGGGAGAAACACCAGGCAGCCCAGGGCAGGAUUCAGAAAUCAGACACCAGGGGCCACCUCCCCCUGGCUUUGAAGGCCACACAGCGAGGCAGGUGGGGUCAGGUCAGCCAUCAGAUCCGAAGUUUCACAGAGAAUUGAAAGGCACCGAGUUGCUUGGAAAACAUUACCCUCAGCCUGACCUGGGGGUGGGCCAGUCCUCCCUUGGCCCAAUCUUAAGUGCGUUCCCUCCCCUCUCGGGCCCCUCAUCUGUGAAAUGAAGCUGUGGGGCCGCAGAGCCAGGAGUGCGGAUGCCAGGCCAGCAGCCUGUGACCUGGGCACAUCUCAGCUGUCCUCUGUCCCCUUGCCUGAGCCCCUCCACAGGGUAAAGACAUCCCCAGGAACUUUGUUCAGCCCUGCCACCUACAGGGAAGCAGCUGCGACAAACCAGGAAAGGCUCUAGCUCUGUUUGGCUUUGAUGUGUUUUCCUGCCAGUCCUUCAGCGUGGGAGGGGCUGACAGUCUGGAAAUUCACUUCAACCCAAAUACGGAAGCCACCCCAGGACUUGUGACUGGGUCCAGAGCCCUCUCCUCCCUCCUUGCCAACCCUCCCUUCUGGUAACCGGUUCUUUAACCUCCAGCCUUAUCUUGCUCCCCGCUUCCCCUCCCUCCCCCUCUCUCUUCCGCCAUGCAGUGCCCUUUAUCAGACCUUGCCUGGCCGAAGGGUAGUCAAGUAUUUGCGCUCCAGAAGGAUUCUCUGCCUGCAAAGUCAGGCAAGGGAGCAGUUAGGAGGCACUAAGUUAGGAGAUGAGGCGCUAAGUCUGAGUUCAGGGGGUGCUGGCAAGGCCGCCACCUCAGACUCUAGGGGGCUCAGCAGGCUCUAGAGCUUCCUCUGGGGGAAGGCAGAGCCUGCACGUGCCUCUCCGUGCUGCCAGCCUCUGCAGUGAGGACGCUAAAGGAACAAUGACUCCUCUUAGAGCUACACUCUGAUCCCUAAAGGAAAUUGCUGCUGCCUGCAAUGACUCUGUAAGGAGCUGAUGGGAGGCAGCCACUGCCGCCAGGAAGCCUUCCAGAUGACACCAGGCACAUCUCUUUCUCCCUCCCCUUGUCUUUCACAGUCCUCUACAGCUGCAGGCUCUGGUUGUGCUGGAUGAAGUCUUUCUCAUUACGACUUGACAGUUUGAAAAACUAUUAUUUUGCAAUUUCCUCAGCCUUUAUUCCCAGGACAAAAGUCUAAUGCCCAGUGGCAGGGGCCAGGCCUGGUAGCCUGCUCUUUGUGCACUCACUGCCCUAGGAAGAGUGGCCAUGAAAUUUUUGGUUUGUGAAUUUGUUUGGUUUCUAUGCCGAAACUUUCCUUACUUUUUUAAGAAAUAGAAAUAAAUUUCUGGUUAUAAAAAAACAAACAAACCCAUGAGCUGAAGGAAUCAAAAAGCACCUGUUAUCUCAGCACUCAAAGAGAAGCACCGGAUCACAUCCUUCCAGACCAGUUCUGACAGUUCACACUUUGCUUUACAAUAAGGAAAUUAUAUGAGGUGCUUUUUUUUUGCAGCAACCUACUUUUUUUUUUUUUAACAGAUCCCAUGGAUAGAUCACCAAGUAAAUAAACACAAGUCUGUCUCACCUGUGUGAAUGGCUGUGUAGUGUCCUAUUUUAUGUUUAAGCCAUAAUUUAUAUAACUAAUUCUCUCACUCUCUCUCUUU